rnacentral:rRNA from 1 species
GAUGAACGCUAGCGGCAGGCUUAACACAUGCAAGUCGAGGGGCAGCAUAAAUAGUAGCAAUACUAUUGGUGGCGACCGGCGGACGGGUGCGUAACGCGUAUACAACCUUCCCUAAACAGGGGGAUAAUCUGGAGAAAUUCGGUCUAAUACCCCAUAACAUCAGAGCAGGCAUCUGUUUUGGUUAUAAUUUCCGGAGGUUUAGGCUGGGUAUGCGUAGCAUUAGCUAGUUGGUGAGGUAACGGCUCACCAAGGCGACGAUUCUUAGGGGGACUGAGAGGUUAACCCCCCACACUGGUACUGAGACACGGACCAGACUCCUACGGGAGGCAGCAGUGAGGAAUAUUGGUCAAUGGGCGGAAGCCUGAACCAGCCAUGCCGCGUGCAGGAUGACGGCUCUAUGAGUUGUAAACUGCUUUUGUACGAGGGUAAAGUGGGCUACGUGUAGCCUUUUGAAAGUAUCGUACGAAUAAGGAUCGGCUAACUCCGUGCCAGCCGCCGCCGGUAA